rnacentral:lncRNA from 1 species
AACAGUUUUUGUCAUUCUUUUGUGUCUGUCAUUCCUCUGCUGUCUUUUACCUUUUAAAUUUUUUCCUCUUAAACUGUUAGUCCAAAUGAAACCAAUAGUUGACGCAAAAGACUUGCUAUACAUCGUAUCUGAUGAUGAAAAAACAGUGAACCAACGCAGCUGCCCUUACUAUAAAUAGACAUACAUUUGUGUUAUGUGGCCAACUAAAACCCACCUCC